UACAGAGGGUGCAAGCGUUAAUCGGAUUUACUGGGCGUAAAGCGUGCGUAGGCGGCCAACUAAGUCAGACGUGAAAUCCCUCGGCUUAACCGGGGAACUGCGUCUGAUACUGGAUGGCUUGAAUCCGGGAGAGGGAUGCGGAAUUCCAGGUGUAGCGGUGAGAUGCGUAGAUAUCUGGAGGAACACCGGUGGCGAAGGCGGCAUCCUGGACCGGCAUUGACGCUGAGGAGCGAAAGCCAGGGGAGCAAACGGG
rnacentral:rRNA from 1 species